GACAGAGGGUGCGAACGUUGUUCGGAAUUACUGGGCGUAAAGCGCGUGUAGGCGGCAGCGCAAGUCGGGCGUGAAAUCCCACGGCUCAACCGUGGAAGUGCACUCGAAACUGCGCAGCUAGAGUCCUGGAGAGGAAGGUGGGAUGCUUGGUGUAGAGGUGAAAUUCGUAGAUAUCAAGCGGAACACCGGUGGCGAAGGCGGCCUUCUGGACAGUGACUGACGCUGAGACGCGAAAGCGUGGGGAGCAAACAGG
rnacentral:rRNA from 1 species